rnacentral:rRNA from 1 species
GAUGAACGCUGGCGGCGUGCCUAAUACAUGCAAGUCGAGCGAACAGACGAGGAGCUUGCUCCUCUGACGUUAGCGGCGGACGGGUGAGUAACACGUGGAUAACCUACCUAUAAGACUGGGAUAACUUCGGGAAACCGGAGCUAAUACCGGAUAAUAUAUUGAACCGCAUGGUUCAAUAGUGAAAGACGGUUUUGCUGUCACUUAUAGAUGGAUCCGCGCCGCAUUAGCUAGUUGGUAAGGUAACGGCUUACCAAGGCAACGAUGCCUAGCCGACCUGAGAGGGUGAUCGGCCACCCUGGAACUGAGACACGGUCCAGACUCCUACGGGAGGCAGCAGUAGGGAAUCUUCCGCAAUGGGCGAAAGCCUGACGGAGCAACGCCGCGUGAGUGAUGAAGGUCUUCGGAUCGUAAAACUCUGUUAUUAGGGAAGAACAAAUGUGUAAGUAACUAUGCACGUCUUGACGGUACCUAAUCAGAAAGCCACGGCUAACUACGUG